rnacentral:tRNA from 1 species
GAAAUAUUAGGUAUUAAACAAAAAGCUGCUAACUUUUUUCUUUAAUGGUUAAACUCCAUUUAUAUUUCU